UUGCACACAGAGAUUUUCACAAGCAGCACGACAGGCAGCGCUCCAGCUUCAUGUCCUCCUGCUCUGUGGAUGGUUUACUUGACAGAAAUGUUGCACAAUGCUUUGCAAACUCAAGCCCUGUCCUGUUCAGCAAGAGGGUUUUGAACCUUAAAUUAAUUCCCCCUAUUGGUUGGAUUUAAUACUUUUAUUACUGUAUGGAUAUUACCUGAUGGGAGAACAGGACAGCGGUUAUACACAACAACAG